rnacentral:rRNA from 1 species
UACGGGGGGGGUAAGCGUUGUUCGGAAUUACUGGGCGUAAAGGCUCGUAGGCGGCCAACUAAGUCAUACGUGAAAUCCCUCAGCUUAACUGGGGAACUGCGUGUGAUACUGGAUGGCUUGGAUUUGGGAGAGGGAUGCGGAAUUCCUGGUGUAGCGGUGAAAUGCGUAGAUAUCUGGAGGAACACCGGUGGCGAAGGCGGCAUCCUGGACCGAUAUUGACGCUGAUGCGCGAAAGCCAGGGGAGCGAACGG